rnacentral:rRNA from 1 species
UCCGCCAGGGGACUACGAGCGCCAGCUUAAAACCCAAAGGACUUGACGGUGUCUCAGACCCACCUAGAGGAGCCUGUUCUAGAACCGAUAACCCCCGUUAAACCUCACCACCCCUUGCUUUUCCAGCCUAUAUACCGCCGUCGCAAGCUUACCCUGUGAAGGUUAUACAGUAAGCAAAAUGGGUAAAACCCAGAACGUCAGGUCGAGGUGUAGCUUACGAGGUGGAAAGAAAUGGGCUACAUUUUCUUUAACAGAAUAAUACGAAUAACACCAUGAAACUGGUGUUUGAAGGUGGAUUUAGUAGUAAAAA